CCUACGGGAGGCUGCAGUGGGGAAUAUUGGACAAUGGGGGCAACCCUGAUCCCGCCAUGCCGCGUGUGUGAAGAAGGCCCUCGGGUUGUAAAGCACUUUCAGUGAGGAAGAACGCCUGGUGGUUAAUACCCAUCAGGAAAGACAUCACUCACAGAAGAAGCACCGGCUAACUCCGUGCCAGCAGCCGCGGUAAUACGGAGGGUGCGAGCGUUAAUCGGAAUUACUGGGCGUAAAGCGCGCGUAGGUGGCUUGAUAAGCCGGUUGUGAAAGCCCCGGGCUCAACCUGGGAACGGCAUCCGGAACUGUCAAGCUAGAGUGCAGGAGAGGAAGGUAGAAUUCCCGGUGUAGCGGUGAAAUGCGUAGAGAUCGGGAGGAAUACCAGUGGCGAAGGCGGCCUUCUGGACUGACACUGACACUGAGGUGCGAAAGCGUGGGUAGCAAACAGGAUUAGAUACCCGGGUAGUC
rnacentral:rRNA from 1 species